rnacentral:rRNA from 1 species
GACGAACGCUGGCGGCGUGCUUAACACAUGCAAGUCGAACGGGAAGGCCCUGCUUUUGUGGGGUGCUCGAGUGGCGAACGGGUGAGUAACACGUGAGUAACCUGCCCUUGACUUUGGGAUAACUUCAGGAAACUGGGGCUAAUACCGGAUAGGAGCUCCUGCUGCAUGGUGGGGGUUGGAAAGUUUCGGCGGUUGGGGAUGGACUCGCGGCUUAUCAGCUUGUUGGUGGGGUAGUGGCUUACCAAGGCUUUGACGGGUAGCCGGCCUGAGAGGGUGACCGGCCACAUUGGGACUGAGAUACGGCCCAGACUCCUACGGGAGGCAGCAGUGGGGAAUAUUGCACAAUGGGCGGAAGCCUGAUGCAGCAACGCCGCGUGCGGGAUGACGGCCUUCGGGUUGUAAACCGCUUUCGCCUGUGACGAAGCGUGAGUGACGGUAAUGGGUAAAGAAGCACCGGCUAACUACG